rnacentral:lncRNA from 1 species
GGCCCCGUCUUCAGCCCCUCAACUCCGCGGCCCAGAGACGGCUGGGCGCGCCCCGAAUGUGCGCCAUCGCAGACCGGGUCGGGGCGGGAGCCCGUCCGCCCCCUCAACCACCCGCCGCCCCUGGAAAGGGGCGCCACGGCCCCCAGAUACCAGGUUGAACGAACAAAUAUAGAACUUUUACAGAUGCCCUUUGUAAAAGGAGUGUGGGGAGUAGGGAUAUAGUUUGAAUUGCAAAGUAUUUCCUUUAUGAGCUUGCUGGUUGUUACACAGUCUCACCAUGUGGGGCAAGUUCAUGCUACAAAAUGAAGCAAUUAUCGGAUGACUAUGAUCAGAUUUCUUCACCAAGUUCCCAGCCUGAGAAGGUACUUUAACAGAGCACAAACCAGAAGACAUUCUAGAAUGCUUUUUUCACCAAUCAGAAGUAACAGAAUGAAAUCCAAGCCCUAUGCAGAAGAG